GCAGACACACUCUGUUCUUUGCUGCUCACUCCAGCUAGGGACUUUUUCUGUCUGCUACAUGACGAUGCAGAAUCUAACACAUCACUGGCUUUCUGAAAGGCUGGUGUCAGUUGGUCCUGCCACAUUAUG
ensembl:snoRNA small nucleolar RNA SNORA77